rnacentral:rRNA from 1 species
CGGCAACAGCUCAAAUUUGAAAUCUGGCGUCUUCGGCGUCCGAGUUGUAAUUUGUAGAGGAUGCUUUUGGGCAGCCACCGGUCUAAGUUCCUUGGAACAGGACGUCAUAGAGGGUGAGAAUCCCGUAUGCGACCGGAAGGGCACCCUUCACAUAGCUCCUUCGAC